AGGGCGCUUCGCGUGGUGAACAUGUGCUGCUUUUACCACCACCUCUCUGUAAAUCCAUGGAGAUUUAAAGGGAACGAUAAUAUAAUAUCUCCACGAUAAAUCACUGUAGAAUGUCUCUUUAGUUGUGGCUAUCACUCUAUUUCUGACUUAUUUGGACAAGGAAAUUUUUUAGUACGAAAUGUGCUGAAAAAUCUAUAUGAAGAAAAGAGUUGACUGAAAGACACAAGAAACUAAUGUCUUAAACAACAUUCAACCACAAUGAAAAAUAUAUUUUAUAUUAUAUAAUGUAUCACCAUCUAGUGUGAACUGUGAACCCAUCUGCAAGAAGCGGAGAUGCUUUUUAGAUUUAUUUUAACGUAAUCAAAGUAUCAGAAACGUGUCUGUAAUAUUAACUUAUGAAGACAAUAUCUUUAACAGUAAUUCAAAUACGCAAUUGACUGAUAAAUUAGAUAGGCCUAUGGUAUAUGUAUUAAUAAAUUUAUUCUGUAUGCUGGCAAAGAAUGGUACAGAGACAACAAGGCUGGAGGUAUGAUUUCACUGCUAGAUGUGGAUUCAAGAUGAAUGCAAGAUUCACCUGAUAAUGAUUACGAUAUGAAGAGAAGAGUUGACUGAAAGAUACAAGAAACUAAUGUUUUAAUGUUAUUCAACCACAAUGAAAAAUAUAUUUUAUAUUAUAAUAAUCAUAAAAAAAUGAAGUCAACGCUCUGUAACGCCAUCUAGUGUGAACCCAUCUGCAAGAAGCCGAGAUGCUAUUAAGAUUUAUUUUAAACGUAAUCAAAGUAUUAGAAACGUGUCAGUAAUGUCAACAUAUGAAGACAAUAUCUUUAAUACAGUACAGUAAUUCAAAUACGUAAUUGAUUGAUAAAUUAGAUAGGCGUUAAUAAAUUUAUGCUGUAUGUAUUGAUUGAUGAAUUAGAUAGGCCUAUGGUAUAUGUGUUAAUAAAUUUAUGCUGUAUGCCGGUAAAGAAUGGUACAGAAACAAGAAGACUGGAGGUAAGUGGGUUGGUUAUUUACUCAAAGAUCUUGUAACAAAAUAGCGCUCUCACCUAUUUGUAAGCGUAAUGCAUGAAAGACUCGUAAAACUGCACCUUCUGCAAAAAAUAAUACAAAGCAAAACUUAUUUAUUGUACUGAAUUUUAUAUAUGGCGCUCCCUCCAAAAACCUAUCUGUACUUGAGAAAAUUUUCAAGAAAAAGAAAUUGAAAAGCCAAAUUUGUUUUACUAAAUUUUAUAUAGCACUCCCUUCAAAAAAUGCAAAGCCAAAUUAGUAUACUGAAUUUUAUAUAGAGCUCAUUACAAAAACCUUAUUUGCACACAUGCACUAAAAUCUUUCAUUGACAAUCUGAGAAAAGUGACAAACUUUCAUAAAACUGCUCCCUGUGCAAAGAAAAGUGUACGAAGCAAAUUUUGUUUACUAAAUUAAGAUAUGGUUCCUCCAAUAAUUUGUUAGUUGCAUAAUUCAUGUGAAAUUUCAUGAGACUGCCAAAAAAUUGUUUAUUUCAUAUAGCGCUCCCUCCAAAACUUAUUUGUGCGCAUAAUGAAAUCAGAACUGCAUGUUGCAAAAAUACAAUUGCGAGUUUGUUACAAGAUCUUUGAGCUACAUUGCAUUAGGUGCCCCUAAAUUAAAUGAGGGCGCUGUUGACGGUAAAGAGCGCCCUCUAUGGCGAUAGAGGGCAUUUUAACGUGAGCAGUGCCUCAUUUGAUUUGGGGGCGCUAUUUAAUGCAGGAACCCUCUAAAUAAAAUGAGGGAUUAUAUUUAGGGGGCGGUAUAUUAUAUAAAAAUUGUGAUGAUACAAGGAACAAAUAAAGGCAAGAGAAUUUGAAUCAA
rnacentral:lncRNA from 1 species